UACGUAGGGUGCAAGCGUUGUCCGGAAUUAUUGGGCGUAAAGAGCACGCAGGCGGUUUGGCAAGUCGGAUGUGAAAACCCGGAGCUCAACUCCGGACCUGCAUCCGAAACUGCCCGACUAGAGGUAGGUAGGGGAGAUCGGAAUUCCUGGUGUAGCGGUGAAAUGCGCAGAUAUCAGGAGGAACACCGGUGGCGAAGGCGGAUCUCUGGGCCUUACCUGACGCUCAGGUGCGAAAGCUAGGGGAGCGAACAGG
rnacentral:rRNA from 1 species